GUGCUCGCUUCAGCAACACAUUUACUAAAAUUGGAACAAUACAAGAAGAUUAGCCUGGCCCCUGCGCAAGAAUGACACGCAAAUUUGUGAAGCAUUCCUUAUUAAA